rnacentral:rRNA from 1 species
AUUGAACGCUCGCGGCCGGCCUAACACAUGCAAGUCGGGCGAACGGCGGACGGGUGAGUAAUGUAUGGGGAUCUGCCUGAUGGCGGGGGAUAACUACUGGAAACGGUAGCUAAUACCGCAUACCAUCAGAUGCACCCAUAUGGGAUUAGAUAGUAGGUAAGGUAACGGCUUACCUAGGCGACGAUCCCUAGCUGGUCUGAGAGGAUGAUCAGCCACACUGGGACUGAGACACGGCCCAGACUCCUACGGGAGGCAGCAGGGGGGAAUAUGGCGCAAGGGGCGCAAGCCUGAUGCAGCCAGGCCGCGUGUAUGAAGAAGGCCUUCGGGUUGGAAAGUACUUUCAGUCGGGAGGCGUUACUGACAGAAGAAGCACCGGCUAACGCCAUGCCAGCAGCCGCGGUAAUAC